CGUAGGUGGCAAGCGUUGUCCGGAUUUAUUGGGUUUAAAGGGUGCGUAGGCGGUUUUCUAAGUCAGCAGUGAAAUACGGCAGCUCAACUGUCGAGGUGCUGUUGAUACUGGGGAACUUGAGUACUGAUGAGGUAGGCGGAAUGGACGGUGUAGCGGUGAAAUGCUUAGAGAUCGUCCAGAACACCGAUAGCGAAGGCAGCCUACUAAGGAGUAACUGACGCUGAGGCACGAAAGUGUGGGGAUCAAACAGGAUUAGAUACCCUGGUAGUCCACACUGUAAACGAUGAUUACUCGAUGUGUGCGAUACACGGCACGCGUCUUAGCAAAGCGAUAAGUAAUCCACCUGGGGAGUACGCCGGCAACGGUG
rnacentral:rRNA from 1 species